rnacentral:rRNA from 1 species
CCACACGGUAAACGAUGAAUACUCGCUGUUGGCGAUAUACGGUCAGCGGCCAAGCGAAAGCAUUAAGUAUUCCACCUGGGGAGUACGCCGGCAACGGUGAAACUCAAAGGAAUUGACGGGGGCCCGCACAAGCGGAGGAACAUGUGGUUUAAUUCGAUGAUACGCGAGGAACCUUACCCGGGCUUAAAUUGCACUGGACAGGCUCAGAGAUGGGCUCUUCUUCGGACCAGUGUGAAGGUGCUGCAUGGUUGUCGUCAGCUCGUGCCGUGAGGUGUCGGCUUAAGUGCCAUAACGAGCGCAACCCUUGCCAUUAGUUACUAACAGGUUAUGCUGAGGACUCUAGUGGGACUGCCAUCGUAAGAUGUGAGGAAGGUGGGGAUGACGUCAAAUCAGCACGGCCCUUACGUCCGGGGCUACACACGUGUUACAAUGGGAGGUACAGAAGGCUGCUACCCGGCGACGGGAUGCCAAUCCCCAAAACCUCUCUCAGUUCGGAUUGGAGUCUGCAACCCGACUCCAUGAAGCUGGAUUCGCUAGUAAUCGCGCAUCAG